rnacentral:rRNA from 1 species
ACGAGGGCCCGGAGCUUGCUCCGGUGACCCGAGUGGCGGACGGGUGAGUAACACGUGACCAACCUACCUUCGGGAGGGGGACAACCUGGGGAAACCCGGGCUAAUACCGCAUAUCGUCCACGGGCCGCAUGACCUGUGGAUAAAAGGGAGCCUCUGCUUGCAUGCUCUCACCCGAAGAGGGGGUCGCGGCGUAUCAGCUAGUUGGUGGGGUAACGGCCUACCAAGGCAACGACGCGUAGCGGGUCUGAGAGGACGACCCGUCACAUUGGGACUGAGAUACGGCCCAGACUCCUACGGGAGGCAGCAGUGGGGAAUAUUGCGCAAUGGCCGAAAGGUUGACGCAGCGACGCCGCGUGUGGGAGGACGCCCUUCGGGGUGUAAACCACUGUCAGGGGGGAAGAACUUCGCAGGUGUGAAUAGCGCCUGCGGUUGACGGUACCCCCAGAGGAAGCGCCGGCUAACUCCGUGCCAGCAGCCGCGGUAAGACGGAGGGCGCAAGCGUUGUUCGGAAUUACUGGGCGUAAAGGGCAGGUAGGUGGUCUGUUAAGUCUUCUGUGAAAAUCCGGGGCUCAACCCCGCGAAAUGCAGGUGAAACUGGCAGACUUGAGACCGGUAGAGGCUAGCGGAAUUCCUGGUGUAGCGGUGGAAUGCGUAGAUAUCAGGAAGAACACCUGUGGCGAANGCGGCUAGCUGGGCCGGUUCUGACACUGAACUGCGAA